AGCUCCAAUAGCGUAUAUUAAAGUUGUUGCAGUUAAAAAGCUCGUAGUUGGAUUUCUGGUGGGAGUGACCGGUCCGCCCGCUGUUUGGGUGGUACUCUGUGUCGGUUCCCGCCAUCGUUGGGGAGAGCAUGCCUGGCAUUAGGUUGUCGGGUUUGUGAUGCCCAUCCUUUACUGUGAAAAAAUUAGAGUGUUUAAAGCAGGCUUAUGCCGUUGAAUACAUUAGCAUGGAAUAAUAAGAUAGGACUUUGGUGGUCUAUUUUGUUGGUUUGCACGCCAAGGUAAUGAUUAAUAGGGAUAGUUGGGGGUAUCCGUAUUUCGUAGUCAGAGGUGAAAUUCUUGGAUUUACGAAAGACGAACUACUGCGAAAGCAUUUACCAAGGAUGUUUUCAUUAAUCAAGAA
rnacentral:rRNA from 1 species